UUCUGAUGACUUUACCACACUAACUGCCUCUGGUAAGGUUGACCUAUCACAAUUCCUCCCCCACUGGGUUCUCCACAGUGUAUCAAAACGACCAGUACUAAAACCCUUCCCAUGAAAUAAACACCUUCUGAGCUUUGGCGCCCACUAAAGGCUAAGGAGUUUAAUUUAUAAAGAGUGAUUUUCAUCUAAAGUCAUCAAAUUAGUUAAAUCCGGUUUUAAAAAAUAAUCUUGCACAGGAAUAUGGUCAUAAAUACUAACAUAUAAUUUUCAAACAUUAUCUUAGUACAUUAGUGUAGAAAUAAAUUGAGGUUUUAUCCCCUGUAUUUUAUCCUCAAUUAGGGCCUUUGGAUACAAAAAUGGCAGAAAAUGAUAAUAGUAAGAGGAAUAAGGAUCCAUUAUGGCUGUGCAGAAGCAGGACAUCUGGAGCUAGAAGCCGAAAGUUUACAUCUUAAACUGCAAGCAGAGAGCCAACUCAAAGAGCAACUCUAUAAACGCUCAAAGCUGGCCUCCAGUAACAUGCUGUCUCCAGCAAGGACUGCCUCCUGAGCCUGUCCAACUGGGCUGCCAACUGAGGCCACACAUUCAAACGCUGAGGCUGUAGGAGACAUCGCAUUCAAACCAGUACAGCCAUACAACUAAGAAAGGAAGACAUCUAUGGAGAGAUUUUUAUAAUAAUAAAAUUGACAGAAACAUACAUGUGCCUUUGUUCUCUUAGACUUAAUACAAUCCUUCUUUGGCUUAGGACCUUCAGUUGUGAUCAUCUUUGAAGUGACUGAUUCUAAUGAGCUCCCAUAUAAUCGUUGAAAACGAUGAUACUUCUGCAAACGUGAAAGAUAAUAGGGGUCUUUUUUGUCUGAAAAAAAGAAAAAAUGUAAAUAAAAUUUCUAUGAUUUAUUAGUAGCAUCUCUCUAAAUCUUCACAUCAUUCUGUACCCAGGCAGUAUUCAUUCUAUUAUAGAACAGUAAUGUUACAUAAUCAGUUUUGUCAGAGAAGGUAUCUUAAAUUAGGCAAUCUCAUCCAUAUAACUUUUAACAUAUCUACAAAAGCGACACUUUUUAAACUUUUUUUUUGUCUAUAGAAUUAAACCUAGUAUUCCAGGCACGCAGGUUAAGGGCUCUACCACUGGCCAACAACUCCCAGCAACUCUAACACUUCCAAGACAAGUUUUCAUUGCCUACUUCCAAAAGAAAUACCAAGAUUUUUUUUUUAAUUUUAUUGAUCAAAUGUGCUUUCUGACAAUUCAUAUAUUGUGUGAUUCGUAUAUUCUGUACUCUAAUUACUUACUGUCCUAGUUAGGGUUUCCAUUGCUGUGAAGAGACACCAUCAUCAAGUGUCUUAUAAAAGACAUUUAGUUGUGGCUGCCUUACAGAUUCAGAGGUUCAGCCCAUUAUCAUCAAGGCAGGAAGCAUGGCAGCAUCCAGGCAGGCGUGGCACUACAGAAGGAGCUUAGAGUUCUAUGUCCUUCUCUGACUGCAUUCAGAAGAAGACUGGCUCCAGGCAGCAAGGAAAAAAGUCUCAAAGCCCACCCCAAAACUAACACACUUCCUCCAAGGCUUUACCUCCUAAUAGUGCUGUUUCCUGAGUCAUAUUCAAACCGACACAUUCCACUCCCUGGCACCCAUAGGCUUGUUUAAAUACAUGAGUCUGUGGGGGCCAUACCUAGCAAGUACAUUUAGUCCAACUUCAAAUGUUCCAUAGUCUAUAAGAGUUUCAACAACGUUAAAAGUUCAAAGUUCGAAGUUGGGGAUUUAGCUCAGUGGUAGAGCGCUUGCCUAGGAAGCGCAAGGCCCUGGGUUCGGUCCCCAGCUCCGAAAAAAAAGAACAAAAAAAAAAAAGUUCAAAGUUCAAAAAUUCUUCUGAGAUUUAAUCACUUAACUGCAAUCCCAUAUAAAGUCAAAAAUCCAAAAGCAGAUCACAUACCUCCAACUUCACAGGAUAUACAUGAUAAUUCCAAAACAUCAUAGUAAGGAAAUAUUGGACCAAAGCAAGACCUAAAAACAGCUGGGCAAAUUCUAAACUGUGCAUCUUCAUGUUCUCCGCCUUUACAUGUUCUUGUUCCAAUGUCUGGGAUCCACACACAAUCUUCAAGGCUUCUCCAAGAGGCUCACAUCACUUCUCCAGCUCUGCCCUCUGUAGCACUCUAAGCUCAGGUUGAUCCACUCCACUGCCGCUGCUCUUCUUGGUGAUCAUCCAUGGUACUGACAUCUCCAAAACUCUGGGGUCGUCAACUGCAACUAGGCUUCACCAAUAGCCUCACAUAGACUCCCUUUACAGUGCCAUGCCUCAACUUCUUUGUAUGACUCCUUCAGUCCUGGGCCAUCAACUGCAACUGAGGCUUCACCUUCACCAAUGGCCUCUUCUGGCCUCUAAUAGUGACAAGUCUCAGCUGCUCUCCAUGACCCCUACAUGCCUUCAAAACCAGUGCCAUCUGGGUGAUUCUUGCACAUUACCAAGUCCAGCUGCAGCACCCAUAUAACCUUCCCAAUCUCUGGAACAGAGCUUCUUCAUGCUCUCAGAAAACACUUCCCAGAGGACUGCACUUCAGUGAUGCUGGACUCUUCUUAAUCACCACUGACUUCUUCGCUCCAGCUGACCACCAUCAAUUGUCCCAGUUAUACCUUCUAUUCUUGACUCUAAAGCCAAAGCCACAUGGCCAAAGCUGCCUAGUUCUGCUGCUUGUUGGAGCUGGAACUUGGCCCCCUUCUUUUAUUGCAUUAUUACCAGCUUUCUGUUUUCCAACUCCUUUACUGCCUAAGCUUGGCUAACCUGGAACUUACUCUGUAAAUUGAACUUGAGCUCAGAGAUCUGCAUGGUUCUGUCUCCUGAAGGCUGAGAAUAAAAGUAAGAUUCACUA